ACAAAUUCAAACAUUUCAGAAGCAGCUUGCAGUUGCGACUGAGAAGUUGAAGGUUAAAAGUUGAAGCAUAUGCUACUAGCAUUCUUUAUGUCUUUACAAACAUGUGCACUGUUCCAUUAUUUGUCAUCUCAAAAUUGAUACAGUUAUUCAAUUAUGUUCUGGGCUCCCACUUGCCAUCUCAUGCUUUUGCAAACACAAGGUAUUGCCGUAUUGAUUCUCUCAACUCUUUUGACUGUGGAAGGCCUUCAAAGACUUCAUGCCUUCUUUGUAACCUGCCAAUUAUUCUAAUCGUUUAGGUUGCAGCAAAGCCCUUGUGACCUCAACAGUAUUUACAGUCAUUUGAAGAGUUCAUGUCCAAGGCGACUGGAAAUGCUGUCAACUGGGUGCAAAUAGUUGGGAUGAAAGUAAUAACUUGUUUUUAAGGAACCAAGGCCACAAAAAUAAACAUUAAGAGGGAGAUCACCACGAUUAGGGCCAGUUGCCCAGAAGCACGCGCCCAGCAUUGAAUCUGGGGUUCCUGAUUGCAGGAGUCCUAAUGGUGCAUACAGUACAGGUUUUAAACCACUUUCUCAUCAGGUUGCAGUUGUUGUAGCUCAUGAAUUAGCUCAUCAAUGGUUUGGAAAUUUUGUCACAAUGGAAUGGUGGACAUAUGUGGCUUAAUGAGGGCUUUGCGACUUGGGUGUCUUACUUAGCUGCAGAUCAGUUCUUUCCUGAAUGGAAUGUUUGGACUCAGUUUCUAGAGGAAUCUACAAUAGGUUUCAAGUUGGAUGCUCUUGCAGGUUCACAUCCAAUUGAGACAGCAAGCUUGCCAAACAUUUAGGAGGAGAGUUCUAGCUCUGGUCAAAAGCAUGGAUUCAGUUGUCAAAAGAGUCCCUUGACAGUACUUAUAACUAAAACUAUGUAUAAAAGGAAUUAGAGAGGAAAAUGUGAAGGAGAAACUCUCCCAUUUUUGCCAUGUUCCGGCAGCAAAUAUUAUCACUUUGUAUGAUGUUUCCAAUAUCUGGCGCAUUCCUUUGUUGCUACAUGUAUGGUGAAUGGGGUGACCAUGUCACGCUACAAGCAGCUGCUGACAAGAGACUCAGGAUCAGUUCUCCAAGUACUCCUGCACUUGGAACCAUCAACAAAGAGUCAAAGAGUAAAUAUGUUAUUCUACGAUGG